rnacentral:rRNA from 1 species
UACGGAGGGCGCAAGCGUUGCUCGGAAUUACUGGGCGUAAAGCGCGUUCAGGCGGUCGAGUAAGUCGGUUGUGAAAUCCCCAGGCUCAACCUGGGAACUGCAUCCGAAACUGCUCGGCUAGAGUCCCGGAGAGGGAGGCGGAACUCCCAGUGUAGGGGUGAAAUCCGUAGAUAUUGGGAAGAACACCGGCGGAGAAAGCGGCCUCCGGGACGGUGACUGACGUUGAGACGCGAAAGCGUGGGGAGCAACCAGG